rnacentral:rRNA from 1 species
GACGAACCGUCCUAACGUUGUUCGGAAUCACUGGGCUUAAAGGGCGCGUAGGCGGCUUUUUAAGUCAGGGGUGAAAUCCUGGAGCUCAACUCCAGAACUGCCUUUGAUACUGGGAAGCUCGAGUCCGGGAGAGGUGAGUGGAACUCCGAGUGUAGAGGUGAAAUUCGUAGAUAUUCGGAAGAACACCAGUGGCGAAGGCGGCUCACUGGCCCGAUACUGACGCUGAGGUGCGAAAGCGUGGGGAGCAAACAGG